UACGUAGGGUGCAAGCGUUGUCCGGAAUUAUUGGGCGUAAAGAGCUCGUAGGCGGUCUGUCGCGUCUGGUGUGAAAAUCCAGGGCUUAACCCUGGACCUGCAUCGGGUACGGGCAGACUAGAGUGCGGUAGGGGAGAUCGGAAUUCCUGGUGUAGCGGUGAAAUGCGCAGAUAUCAGGAGGAACACCGGUGGCGAAGGCGGCUUCCUGGACCAGUACCGACGUUCAGGCACGAAAGCGUGGGGAGCAAACAGG
rnacentral:rRNA from 1 species